rnacentral:rRNA from 1 species
GAUGAACGCUGGCGGCGUGCCUAAUACAUGCAAGUCGAGCGAACGGACGAGAAGCUUGCUUCUCUGAUGUUAGCGGCGGACGGGUGAGUAACACGUGGAUAACCUACCUAUAAGACUGCGAUAACUUCGGGAAACCGGAGCUAAUACCGGAUAAUAUUUUGAACCGCAUGGUUCAAAAGUGAAAGACGGUCUUGCUGUCACUUAUAGAUGGAUCCGCGCUGCAUUAGCUAGUUGGUAAGGUAACGGCUUACCAAGGCAACGAUGCAUAGCCGACCUGAGAGGGUGAUCGGCCACACUGGAACUGAGACACGGUCCAGACUCCUACGGGAGGCAGCAGUAGGGAAUCUUCCGCAAUGGGCGAAAGCCUGACGGAGCAACGCCGCGUGAGUGAUGAAGGUCUUCGGAUCGUAAAACUCUGUUAUUAGGGAAGAACAUAUGUGUAAGUAACUGUGCACAUCUUGACGGUACCUAAUCAGAAAGCCACGGCUAACUACGUGCCAGCAGCCGCGGUAAUACGUAGGUGGCAAGCGUUAUCCGGAAUUAUUGGGCGUAAAGCGCGCGUAGGCGGUUUUUUAAGUCUGAUGUGAAAGCCCACGGCUCAACCGUGGAGGGUCAUUGGAAACUGGAAAACUUGAGUGCAGAAGAGGAAAGUGGAAUUCCAUGUGUAGCGGUGAAAUGCGCAGAGAUAUGGAGGAACACCAGUGGCGAAGGCGACUUUCUGGUCUGUAACUGACGCUGAUGUGCGAAAGCGUGGGGAUCAAACAGGAUUAGAUACCCUGGUAGUCCACGCCGUAAACGAUGAGUGCUAAGUGUUAGGGGGUUUCCGCCCCUUAGUGCUGCAGCUAACGCAUUAAGCACUCCGCCUGGGGAGUACGACCGCAAGGUUGAAACUCAAAGGAAUUGACGGGGACCCGCACAAGCGGUGGAGCAUGUGGUUUAAUUCGAAGCAACGCGAAGAACCUUACCAAAUCUUGACAUCCUUUGACAACUCUAGAGAUAGAGCUUUCCCCUUCGGGGGACAAAGUGACAGGUGGUGCAUGGUUGUCGUCAGCUCGUGUCGUGAGAUGUUGGGUUAAGUCCCGCAACGAGCGCAACCCUUAAGCUUAGUUGCCAUCAUUAAGUUGGGCACUCUAAGUUGACUGCCGGUGACAAACCGGAGGAAGGUGGGGAUGACGUCAAAUCAUCAUGCCCCUUAUGAUUUGGGCUACACACGUGCUACAAUGGACAAUACAAAGGGCAGCGAAACCGUGAGGUCAAGCAAAUCCCAUAAAGUUGUUCUCAGUUCGGAUUGUAGUCUGCAACUCGACUACAUGAAGCUGGAAUCGCUAGUAAUCGUAGAUCAGCAUGCUACGGUGAAUACGUUCCCGGGUCU